rnacentral:tRNA from 3 species
GUUCAGGUGGCCAAGACGUAAGGCGUGACGCUUACACCGUCAAGAUCGUGGGUUCAAUCCCCACCCUGAACA